rnacentral:rRNA from 1 species
GACGAACGCUGGCGGCGUGCUUAACACAUGCAAGUCGAACGGAAAGGCCCUGCUUGCAGGGUACUCGAGUGGCGAACGGGUGAGUAACACGUGGGUGAUCUGCCCUGCACUUCGGGAUAAGCCUGGGAAACUGGGUCUAAUACCGGAUAGGAGCCAUUUUUAGUGUGAUGGUUGGAAAGUUUUUUCGGUGUAGGAUGAGCUCGCGGCCUAUCAGCUUGUUGGUGGGGUAAUGGCCUACCAAGGCGGCGACGGGUAGCCGGCCUGAGAGGGUGGACGGCCACAGUGGGACUGAGAUACGGCCCAGACUCCUACGGGAGGCAGCAGGGGGGAAUAGUGCACAAUGGGCGCAAGCCUGAUGCAGCGACGCCGCGGGGGGGAUGACGGCCUUCGGGUUGUAAACUCCUUUCGCUAGGGACGAAGCUUUUUGUGACGGUACCUAGAUAAGAAGCACCGGCUAACUACGUG